UCUACUAACAUUUCAAAAAUUGUAUUGAGAGGGAGGACUCAAGAUGGCGCUGUGAGAACAACCCAGGAUUGGAGUUGUCGUUGUGUCUGUGGAGAGGUGAGUCUGAGCUGCAUUUCCAGACUGAUCUUUGUUGCUCACGGAACGGGGAAAUUCCCAAGUGAAGAGGAGACGCGGGACGCAAGGCAGAUAUUACGCCUGGCGAAGCCGGCAGCCGGGGUGGCGGCGGCCGGCCCUACCCAGUGCUCCCCACAGGGCGCACUUGUCCGGGUGCCCCGUUGAACCAGCAACUGGAGACGUGAGAGGGCUGGACUUGAGACUGAGCUAGACUUGAACAGUGGGCCAGCCCAGGGGAUUGCAGGAAUAGAGCGUUAGGAUUGGCCCAGUGGGACGAACAAAACCGCGAUUUCAAACAAGCCCCAUGCAGACGGCCCAAGACGCUCUGAGGGGGAGGGGCGGCCACCAUUACCGAGGUAACCCGUCCCUACUGAGAUACACGCCCACUGCUGACGCAGCCUGCCGUCGCCGAGGCAACCCACUACAAC
rnacentral:lncRNA from 1 species